ensembl:ncRNA K08E5.8 ncRNA
AAAAUUUAGCGAACAAAAUAUUGAUCUACUUAUUUUUGUUAACAAAUAGUUUUUAAUUCUAGUGUAGAAUAAGUUGGAGCACCUGCCACCUUGUGGGUCCAUUUUCGACACACUUUCUUGGAUCUCUUA